GCGAACCUGCGAAGGCAAGCGGAUCUCUUAAAGCCGUUCUCAGUUCGGACUGUAGGCUGCAACUCGCCUACACGAAGCUGGAAUCGCUAGUAAUCGCGGAUCAGCACGCCGCGGUGAAUACGUUCCCGGGCCUUGUACACACCGCCCGUCACACCAUGGGAGUCGGAAAUGCCCGAAGUCUGUGACCCAACCUCAGGGAGGGAGCAGCCGAAGGCAGGUCGGAUGACUGGGGUGAAGUCGUAACAAGGUAGC
rnacentral:rRNA from 1 species